GCUGAGAAGUGAGAGAUGAAGUGGGCGGAGUUGUAUGAAGUGAUUGUCUCAAACUUUUACUUUCCUUACUUCAAUCUGCAGUAGUUUACGACUGAUGUAAAGGCAACUAUAAAAGUUUAUGAAAUUGCCAGCAUCUAGGAGCCAUACAGCUAAGACGGAAGAAUAUAAGAGUGGAAGAAAGGAAGAAAAAUAAAAACCGAAAAAGGAAAACAAAGCUACCAAUAAAAUUUUACUACCGCUCUGGGGGAUCCGGAAUCGAUCCGCAGGAUAACCCAGAAAUUUUUCAUGGAUGGUCUGUCCCGGAUAUGCCCACGUCCCAUCCUUCAUCACCCUCCUGGAAGAACCCACGAUGGGCAUGGAAAACUGCUCUCCAUAGUGCCCAUAAGGAGGAGAGUUAAUAAUGGGAGAUGUAAUUCGGUAAUUUAAAAAUUUGAAACAGUAGCCAAUAAGAAUGCAAGAAAAAUUAUGAUUGACCAAUAGGAGAAGAGUUAGCAGUGUGAUUCAUACAGAUAAAGCAAAAGUAUAUUUAAAUGGGUUUUUUUUUGCGUGUUUUUAACUAGGAAAUAUGAUAUACGCCGUUUCACGUGACAUAAUUAGCAACGCGACAGUUAAUUAACUAGGCAUAUGCCUACGGUUACUUGAUAUUGCCUUGGGACAUCAUCCUGAAAUGAGGUAAAUGGGAAUUUCAAUGAUAAAAUGACUUGACAUAUUCACUCCCGUUAUCAAAACAUUAUCACUGAGUAAAAUAAGUGUUUUU